rnacentral:rRNA from 1 species
UGGGGAAUCUUGCACAAUGGGCGAAAGCCUGAUGCAGCGACGCCGCGUGCGGGAUGAAGGCCUUCGGGUUGUAAACCGCUUUCAGCAGGGACGAGGCCGCAAGGUGACGGUACCUGCAGAAGAAGCCCCGGCUAACUACGUGCCAGCAGCCGCGGUAAUACGUAGGGGGCAAGCGUUAUCCGGAUUCAUUGGGCGUAAAGCGCGCGUAGGCGGUUUGUUAGGUCAGGAGUUAAGUCUGGGGGCUCAACCCCUAUCCGCUCCUGAUACCGGCAGGCUUGAGUCUGGUAGGGGAAGGCGGAAUUCCAAGUGUAGCGGUGAAAUGCGCAGAUAUUUGGAAGAACACCGGUGGCGAAGGCGGCCUUCUGGGCCACGACUGACGCUGGGGCGCGAAAGCUAGGGGAGCGAACAGG